rnacentral:rRNA from 1 species
CGCCUUAUACUCCUACGGGAGGCAGCAGUGGGGAAUCUUGGACAAUGGGGGCAACCCUGAUCCAGCAAUGCCGCGUGAGUGAAGAAGGCCUUCGGGUUGUAAAGCUCUUUUGUCAGGGAAGAAACGGUAGUAGCUAAUCUCUAUUACUAAUGACGGUACCUGAAGAAUAAGCACCGGCUAACUACGUGCCAGCAGCCGCGGUAAUACGUAGGGUGCAAGCGUUAUUCGGAAUUACUGGGCGUAAAGCGUGCGCAGCCGGUUGUGUAAGUCAGAUGUGAAAUCCCCGGGCUCAACCUGGGAAUUGCAUUUGAGACUGGACGGCUAGAGUGUGUCAGAGGGGGGUAGAAUUCCACGUGUAGCAGUGAAAUGCGUGGAUAUGUGGGGGACUACCGAUGGCGAAGGCAGCCCCCGGGGAUAACACUGACGCUCAUGCACGAAAGCGUGGGGAGCAAGCAGGAUUAGAUACCCUGGUAGUCCACGUACCA